CCUACGGGUGGCAGCAGUGGGGAAUAUUGGGCAAUGGGCGCAAGCCUGACCCAGCAACGCCGCGUGAAGGAAGAAGGCCUUCGGGUCGUAAACUUCUUUUGUCAGGGACGAAGCAAGUGACGGUACCUGACGAAUAAGCCACGGCUAACUACGUGCCAGCCGCCGCGGUAAUACGUAGGUGGCAAGCGUUAUACGGAUUUAUUGGGUGUAAAGGGCGUGUAGGCGGGAAUGCAAGUCAGAUGUGAAAACUAUGGGCUCAACCCAUGGCCUGCAUUUGAAUCUGUAUGUCUUGAGUGCUGGAGAGGCAAGCGGAAUUCCGUGGGUAGCGGUGAAAUGCGUAGAUAUACGGAGGAACACCAGUGGCGAAGGCGGAUUGCUGGACAGUAACUGACGCUGAGGCGCGAAAGCGUGGGGAGCAAACAGGAUUAGAUACCCGUGUAGUC
rnacentral:rRNA from 1 species